ensembl:lncRNA
CACCAAAUGAGUUAUAGCUAGACCAUGGUCCUUGUUGGUUAGGUCUAAAGUGGUUGUUUUGUGUGUGCUUCCCCGAUCUGCUUCCAUGACCAAAGCCCAUGAGACUGCGAAUCCUGUAUUAAUAGGCUCCUAAAUGUUACCGAAUAUCACAAAAAGAAUUCUGAAUAUCCAUCAUUAAUAGUAUGAAAAAAAAACGUAGAAGAAUGUAAGGUAAAUGCUGUCGCCCCUUUGAAGAAAAUAAAAGUUGUAAAAGUAAAAGUAUUCUGACAGGAACCUGUAUGUGCUGAUGUUUGGAAAGUGUCAACACACAUCAUGUCAUUUAACGGUAUUUCCUGUUUGUUUUGACACAGCAGAGGAUGCUGGGAGGCCCAGGGAGGACGGAGCUUGUAAUUGGUUCAGUGUACAGUUGAUGUCAAUCGACUUCAAGCACCACAGCAGCCCACUGGUGGAAGAGGCAAGGAGAUGGCACCAUAUAUACGAAGAACAAAAGAGUGUUGUUGUUGUUGUUGUUUUUUUUCAAAUAUAAAUCAAGAUCAUCUCACGAAAAAAAAAAAAAAAAAAAAAAAAACUGCUGUACCAUAAAUCCAAACUCCUAUAUUCUGAUAUAUUUGUUUAACGGCAUUUCUUUUCUUUUAUCCUAGUACUUUGAAUUUUACUUGUGAAUUUUAUGUCAGAUUUGUUUUGUUUUGCUUUCGAUGUUCUUUCUUUGAACCCCACUUCCAGCCUUCAUCGUUAACAGGAUUAGAGUCUAUUGCCUUUGGUACAAUUCUUGGAGAGUUCUUAACGAGUCAUUUUUGCUCACAUGUAAAACAAGUGAAAAGACUGAACAUGUUGGGGAAGAAGACACAUUUAAUUUCAAGUGGAAAUUGCGAGGGUAAAAAUAUAAAUCUUAGUAUCUGUUUUUAAUUAUUGUGAUGUAUCAUUAUUUGACCAUAAUUACCUAUUUUUGGGCAAUACAAAGAGGACUCCAAUAUUUUUAUGGUCCUUUUUUUAUAAGUGUUGUUUUUUGUCGUUUAGAAACAAAAAUGUAUACUAUAACAUUUUUCAUAUAAAUACAUUGUGAAUUGAGAUUUAAGAAAAUGUACAUAUUAUACCAGUCUCUGCAUAUAACCAACUAAGAAUGAAAAAAGACAUAUUUUUUCUGACAGUGUCUCAACAAAGUGUCCCCAGGGUGUAUAUAAACAAAAAAAUACAGCUCAAAACAGAUCAUCAGUCGGUUGUUAGUGAAAAACAGCAGAUACCCCUGUGGUAAUAUACAGUAUAUGAUAUAUCAGAGUACUGAUGUCUUGCUCUGUAAAUAAAACCGAGAUGAACAGCAUCACAAGUGUCAUACCAGCAUAUUUCCAAAUGGUGAGAACAGGUCAUUGCUUAAGGAAACAAAACAAAAACAAAACAAAAAAAAACAAAGCAAAUAUGGAGGCGUAUAACAUCACAACUGACAUACGAGGGAUCAGUAUCAUUUUUAAGAGAAUAAUGACAAAAUCCAAAGCACACUGUAUUUAGUGUUAAAGAAAAUAACUGCAUUCUGUCCAGAGAUUUUACAAUGACCUUCGCAUCCUGACACUUUUAUACUCUGGAGGGGGAAAAAAAGACUUACUAUGUUAUUUGUUGAUGUUGUUGUUGUUUGUUGUCGUUUGUCUGCUCCAGAUGGUUCGGCUCUCCUUCAGAACACAGGUUCUGAACUAUUAUGUAGCAGAGCCAAUGAGGACGGCUUAUUCUUUUGCUCGGUUCUCUGUUGAAAGAAAUACGAAGGCAAACGUUUUUAUAUCAUACCUCAGCCCCCGUGACUCUCACCUGGGGAAAAACGUAACUGAUUUAAUUUAUUUUCAGUAGUUGAUGAGAGAGUUAAAAUAACAAAAAUACUGAUGGAGUUCAAGGAAAUAAAAUCAUUGCACUGUGACCGGUAUGAAAGAUUUGAACCAUUUUCCUUUGUUUGCACAUGUUAAAUGUUGGUGAUGUUGGUCCUUAAAAUUAGUCAAGUAUGAAGAACUGUUGUAACAUGAAUGUCAAAACGAAGCAAUGAAUACCAAUUUAUAACCUAAUGUCUUGAUUUUAGAGAGGGGAUAUAGGCAGCCUUUGUGAUAUGGGUCUGGUGUCAGAGUUUCACCCAGGUAGACGGAAGGAGAUUGGUCAUAGCAGUAAUCAUCGCUGCUGUGGGAAAUUUGAACAGGACUGGUUUAGCUCAAAUAAAGAGCAUCAUAGGGGGAUGUUUAGAGUGCAGAUUGUCAUAUAUGAUAAUGGGUUUAUUGUAUAUUCUGAUGUACAUUUGUCUUUUUUCCUGCUGCAAAUGUAUUGUUUUAUUUUAAUCUAUGUUUUGUUUAUUUUAUUUUAUUGACUCUGAUGUUCAAAACAACCAGGUAAAGCGAGAUGCUGGAUGCUUUUUAAAUAAUAUGGAGACAACAAUUUAACCUGAGAAAAAAAAAUGGAAGAAAACUAUUGUAAAGUUCACAUGUAAACAGAAGAAGCAAAUGAAAUACAAAACUGAAAAAAAAGAAAAAAAUGCUCCUGAUUGCUGAUUUCAAUUUUGCAACAGGGUUUUAUUGACAUUUUUGUGGUUGUUAAUAAUUAUAUUAAUAAUUAUAAUAGCGAUAUUAUUCUAAUGUACGGUGGAUCUAUCAGUUCCUCUCUUGCCAUUCCCUGUCACCAUAUACAAUCUUUGGUUCAUCAUUGUAUUUCAUUCUUGUGCAAAAGAAGACCUCGUAACAGAGUGCUGUUUUUGAGAACCCGUGUAGAUGUCGAUCUUCUUUGAUGUUCUCUCCAUGUAUCUUCUCACACCUUCCUCUAGUCUUUGUAAGUAGUCGUAGAUGUUAUGUAUUUAGAAUAAACUCGUAGUUCGUAGCAGAUUUAGGACCAGUAAGGAUAGAACUUUUUCAUAUUAUCAGUGCUUCACACAAAAUUGCAACCAGUUCAUUUUAUAGCAACUUUGCUGUAGCGUUGUUGUUUUUUUCUUUUUCUUUCUUUGUUGUGUUUGCGGUUUUCACAUGGUUUCAACUAACCAAAGCUUACACAUGAGAAUUAUAAAAAUGCUGUAAGACAGAAUUUUAAAAUAGGCAUUCUUUGGAUCCCCACACCUUGAAUGUUUUUGAAAGGGGGUGUGCCAUACUACCUUAAAAGCUAAUGCACGACUUUUAUUUUGAAUUAUUUUCUAAGAGGGACACAAGCUAUAAUUAAGAAGAUUUUAUGUCAAAGAAAAUCAUAUUUUUUUAGAAGGUUCGCACAGACUAAUAAUGAUAAUUACAAUAAUUAUUAUUAUGAUAUUACUAAUAAAACUUGUUCUAUGUUUUGAUGUUUGUACACUUUGAAAAUAUCCUGGGUGCCACUGGCUCUGCUAUUUUUGGAUACCACUCUGUUUUUUAAACGCGUCUGCCUUUUACAGAAUCCGUUUUUUUUUUUUCUUUUGGUCAUAAACACCUAAAUCGGAGACAUUGGGAAUUAUUUUUGUACUCUCGACCAAGGACACCAGUGCUUUAUUUUAAUCAAAAGAGAGACUUGUUUACUUUGCCUUGUAGUGUGCAUACACACUGAAGGUGAAGGUGACAUGCUCUCAGAAAUGUGGGAUAGAAGAAAAGCAUUCAGAGGGUGGGUCUAGAGUUUAGAGUAGCUUAAACUGCUGUGUGAACAACAGGAAGUUGAUAGAAAGAAAGCUCCUUUCAGAAGCGAGUAUGUAUAGUAUAGAAGGCUUAUCUAUGAGUAACUACUGUCUGGGUGGCUUACAGUGCUGUUUGAGUUCUAAAACACUGGGUUUAGAACUAAACCUGAUGCACGGUAUGGAUCUUGUCCCUCUAUUUUUCUUUAAGUUACAGCUCUCCUUUGACUCUCUUAAGAAAUAUAACUAUAAUCACUUAAAUAUUUAUUAUUAUUGGGCUGAAAGACAUUUUGCAAGGCAGACAAACAGAGAGAACACUGGUUGCUUUUAAUAUUUGUUGAAAACUUUCCGUAAUGGAUAAAGUUUUGAUUAAACUAAAGACUGGUGAUCCACGAAAAUAGUCACACCAUCUCUAUUUUUAGUUACUUUGUUAAAUUGUUUCGCUUUUUUGUAACUUUUGAUCCCGUAGCUUGGACUUUAAGGUAGCAUGGCUCAGUUUACGUCCUUUUAUUUUCCAUUGACAGCAAAUAACAGCUGAUGAAUGUUACACAUCUUACUAGAUUAGUCAUUUCAUUGGAUAAUUGUUGGUUUAGAAAAAAAAAAUCUAAAAGGAUGAAAAAAAUUGACCUGGACGGUGUUUGGAGUGUACUACCGUAUCCAUUUAAACUUGAAUAUUUAGGCAAGUGCUAGGUAAUGGCCAACCCUUCAUCGCCUUUCAGUCAUGCAUUAAACAGGCAUACAUGCAUGUUUUAUUGGAUGUAUGCACUGGUACCUCUUUGUGUUAAUAUUUUUGACUACUCGCUAGUAGUGAACCCUUCCCACUACUGUCAUGGCAUACUUCCUGUCUGGCUCAAACAGUAGUGUCCCACACUGCUUAUGUCCCUCAUGCUCCCAACAUUUCACCUUCAUUAUUGUGCUGUAGGAGGUGAAACAGUGAUGAUGUCCAGCGAUGAUUCAUAAAACGCAAAAUUAAAACUACAAUAAUAAUAAUAAUAAUAAUACAUAUUUAUGACUGUUAACCAGUGCGUGGGCUUCCUACUGGGUAGUCUUAACUGUACAAAUGGACGAGUCCUUUGGCUGUAGCCGUUGCUUAGAGACAGUUACACACCUGGACGGUCGAAAAGCGACGGUGCAAUAGAGCUCACCAUAGCUACUGUCCUUCCGUUAGCCUUUCGCAUCCCGCUCGAGGGAGAGGUUGUUGCUAGGCGCUGGGGUUUUGUUGUUUGUUGUCAUUCUAUACUUCCCCAUUCUGCCUUGCCCAUUCCUACCACUUGCCCAUUUUUUUAACGUUUAAUGACUUUUUACUGCAAGAGACUGACAGAACUGACUGACUGAUGUCUGAAAGCAUCUUUCAGGUCUUCUUCUUGUACGGCUUUGCUCAAGCCCUGUUGUAAAAUAAAUGAAAUAAAAAAUAAAACUCAAAUGGAUGGGGGUCUCUCACAUCUCAGAUGUGGAAAGUAUAAUUUUAUAUUUGUAUUUUCAAAUAAUAUUAAUAAAAAGAUGUUUGUGAAAGGUUUCCAUCCUCUACUGUGGUCCAGAAAUCGAUGUGUCUGUCUGGAAAAAAAAUAAACAAAUAAAAACAAAAUGAAGUA